ensembl:lncRNA
CCUAACCUCUUGGUCACAAAGGGAAUAAAACUGUCUUCCUCUAUGUUCUCUUUUCUCCGCUCCUACCUCCUGCUGGAUUCUUCCCAAGGGUCAGACCUAGAAAGAAAACUGAGAGAAAAUUCUACUGACAUCAACCUGCAGAACAUUUCGUGAACCCGAAAUGGACAGGACAUUAAGCAGCAGUCAUGACCCAGCAGCUGACUCCCAUCAGUCACCUCUGGUGACAGUCCUGUCCUGAAGCCACCUCCCUCCUGGAGCUCCUACUGAAGUGGGUGAGGGGAAAGACUGCUUUCUCCCUACAAAACACUCGUCACCUCUGCUGGUGGAGGAAAUUCAUCCAAAAUAGUGACUCCCUCUAAUAUAUCUUUUUUAGAUUUUCUCAUGGACUCAACUAUAAGAAGCAGAAUCUCCUGCCUUUUACGGGUUGAGUUCAGUUUUGCAGUGAGAGAAACUUGCCUGAGCUUUCGAAGAGAGAGAAGAGAGGUAAUUAUCCUCAGGUCACGGGGGCCACAGCAGCCACAACGUUCACAAGGCUUCUGGGCUUCUUGUCAAGCACUAGGUUUGGUGGGAGAUUUUCCAGAGUUUCUUGAAAAUUGCAGCAGUUUCCGGGCAAAUGUUAGAGAACCACCCACUUAGGUGUUCAGUCUGACCUUCCAGCUGUUUCCAUGACCUUCCAGCUGGUUUCACUCUGCCAGCUCUUGUCCCUUCAUGUGAACCCUAAUUCUUAUAUUAAAUCUCUUUGUCCCCAUAACACACAGAGUGGCUUUAAUGCAGUGUCUUCCUUUAUUUUUUUCUGAGAGUUAAAUGAAUUUUUUUUUCCUUUUGGUCACACUCCAAAGAAACUUGUAACAUUUACUCUGUAGUCAAGCCCUCUAUGUAAGGUUUACUAGGGUUUUUCUUCUCAAGUCUUAGCUGGAAAAAGGGCCUAAAGACUGUUUCUGAGCUCUAAAGGUACAGUACCUGCCAGCAGCCUGCCUCUCCAUUCAGUAACAGCCUCUCUGUGGCAAGUGAAUUAGCAACAGGUUAGUUAGAGGUUGUAAAUCUUUCAAGCUUUACAGGAAGAUUGGCAAACAUGUCCGUCCUGACCUAUUGCAUUAUCUUCCCACUAAAUUCUCAGCUGCCCGGUUUGCCCCUUUCAGCAAAGCAUGUUAUUUUCUUCUUCUUGGAAGGAACCUGAGUGAAGCUGCUACUUCACAUCUAAUAUUGAUGCCUAGUUGAAUUGAAGUUUUUAGGGCAUGGACUGUGCUUGUCAAGAAUGCAUAUUUCAUCACUACACUUUUAAACUACCUUUGAGUGGAAAAUGGCUGGCCCUUUCUAUGCUGUAACUCAAAAAGCUGAUGGAGAGAAGCCUCUUUAACAGUGCUGGGUGGGUCAAGCAAUUGCUGAAAAUAAAUAUUAAAUAAUUUCAAGACUCAGCAAGAUUCUUGGUGCUUGUGAAGAAUCACUCAGGUCACUGUGGAUGCCAGCACCAAGCUCUACCCGUCAGUGUCUCUGAAUCAACAUCUACAGCACUUUGGCUUAUCCUAUUAAUCAGCAAAGGUUUGCUGGGAGCUACUCUGUGCUCAUCACUGCCCUGGGCUCUGGGAGGCUUUUCCUCUGGCUGCUCCUUGUUCAUCUCCUUCAUAGUUUUCUCUUCAUCUAUCAGGUCAUUAAAUAAAUACAAUGAUGACAGCUAACUGAGCUCUCAACAUGGUGACAGUUUUCUUUCAUUUGGCUGACCAUGCAAGUCUUCUCACUUCCACCAGGGGGCAGCACGUCCGCAGGAUCGGCCCUGGUCCUGCUCCUUGGGAAUAGCAAACAAGGGCAAUCCACGCCAUUACAAUAGCAGGUGCACCUAGAUGGAGAGCCCGUCAGAAUCAGUGAGUGUGUGCAAAUUUCAUGCGCUUAUGAACACACAUGUGUAGCUGGAUGGAGCUACAAGUGUAUAUUCACAUCUCAAAAGUUGUGGCAAAGGCAUUGUCACUAUUUUUUUUAUUCUACAUGAAUUGAGCACCUACUAUAUACCAAAAAUGGUGCCACUUGCCUUAGUUUUUGUUUUUAAUAUGAAAUUAUUUAUAAUUAGCAUUUUAUAUGAAGAGCAGUGCCAAUGAAAUGCACUGAGGUGUAUUUGUUUUGACACUUACGUAAAAUAAGCAUUUCCCUCUAAUCUGUUGACUGCCAUUUAGUUGGCAUAUAAAGCACCUUUUCUAUUAAGAAUAACAUUUAAAAAUUAAUUACAUUCAGGCAAAAAUCUAUCUUUAAUGAGCUGGGAAUGAGAUAGUGAUGCAGGAGGGCAUAUUAAAAUUAUUUCCUUGAGGUUAAAACAUUCCAAAAUUUACCUACAAAUUUAAAAAGCAUUGCCUUUGGCUCCAUUUGUUAAGUUGUCCACAUGCAUGCAGUAUUCUGUGAUGCUUUAUUUGCAAACAGUGAUGUAUCUACAGAUGGAAGGUGCCAGGCAAAAAGGAAGCCCCUAACCAGGUCCAAAAUAGGAACCUGAGAGUGCUGCCUGCAUUGUCCUGGGCUGGGAAGUGGCUACCCAGGGGCUGAGGGCCAGGG